GACGAACGCUGGCGGCGUGCUUAACACAUGCAAGUCGAACGGCAAGGCCCUACUUUUGUGGUGUGCUCGAGUGGCGAACGGGUGAGUAACACGUGAGUAACCUGCCCUUGACUUUGGGAUAACUUCAGGAAACUGGGGCUACUCCCGUAUCGGAUCUCCUGCUGCAUGGUGGGGGUUGGAAAGUUUAAGCGGGUGGGGAUGGACUAGCGGCUUAUCAGCUUGUUGGUUGGGGAGUGGCUUACCAAGGCUUUGACGGGUAGCCGGCCUGAGAGGGUGACCGGCGACAUGGGGACUGAGAGACGGCCCAGACGCCAACGGGAGGCAGCAGGGGGGAAUAUGGCACAAUGGGCGGAAGCCGGAGGCAGAAACGCCGCGUGCGGGAUGACGGCCUUCGGGUAGUAAACAGCUUUCGCUUGAGACGAAGCGGGAGUGACGGUAAUGGGUAAAGAAGCACCGGCUAACUACGUG
rnacentral:rRNA from 1 species